rnacentral:rRNA from 1 species
GCUAGCGUUGCUCGGAAUUACUGGGCGUAAAGCGCACGUAGGCUGCUUGUUAAGUCGGGGGUGAAAUCCUGGAGCUCAACUCCAGAACUGCCUUCGAUACUGGCGAUCUCGAGUUCGGGAGAGGUGAGUGGAACUGCGAGUGUAGAGGUGAAAUUCGUAGAUAUUCGCAAGAACACCAGUGGCGAAGGCGGCUCACUGGCCCGAUACUGACGCUGAGGUGCGAAAGCGUGGGGAGCAAACAGG